AAAGCGCGAGACAUCAGUUCCGUCAUCAGAGCGCGUUUCUUUGACCUUACUAACCGGAUGCUGAACGGAGUUGGACAUAGUGGUGUUUUAGAGAUGGAGUUCCCAUUUACACGCAUUAUUUGACUGACAGACCGCGACGGUUGGAGUUAAAAAUCAUCAUUUGUGUUCUACUGAAGAAACAAAGUCACCUACAUCUUGGAUGCCCAGGGGGUUGUUCAGAAGGAUGAAGCUAAAACAGAUCCUGAGAGGUGUACAGUGGCAGUGUUUGUCAUCAAGGAAGAUGAGGAUCCUCUCCAGCCACCACAUCACAUUGGGAUUGUUUUUUUCCCCUCAAGUGUUAAUGUGUGAAAUGCGUACCGGCUAGCCUAACUGGUAGCAAAAUUCAUUUGAGACUUUUAUUUAUUUUUGUUUUUGUUUUGUUUUUUGACAACAGAGAAGGUGAUGUAUAUUUUAAAAAGACAAUGACAUCACAAUAAACAUUAAGGCCUUUUGAAGAGAA